UUGUACACUUAGAUGUGGAGGUCAUAGACUUGCCUUACGUUUUUUGUUCAAACUGAUGUGUUGCAUUAUUAUAAAACAAAAACGAUGUUCUAAUCUACUUUCUGUAACGUGCAGGAGUCAAACACUGUAGAGUUUGUUCUAGAAGUGAAACAAAUAUGGUCAUGAAAUAUUUCUAUUGUCUUCGUUUCUUUGUGUUUCUUAUGUACGCUGUAACUGAAGGUCAACCUGUGUUACUCAUAGAGAGAAUUGCAUGCAGCCAACCUCCGAUUUGUCUGGUCAGCCCAUGCAUGUAUUCUAACUGCCCUGAUACGUGCAUAAGAAAACUGACCUAACCAUCGAAUUCAAGUUCCGAGCCAGCAGAGAGAUUUGGGAAUGAAAUAUAAAUAAAGAAAUAUGCCAUUA